AUACCACCCAUGUGGUUUCGCAUUUUUUUUAUUUUUGUACCCUAUGGUUUAAAGUGUAUCAAUUUAGUACUCUGUAUUUUUAUUUUUUUCUUUUUAUUAUCUCUUUCAUUAAUUUUUUUCGUUAAGUCAAUGACAAAGUUAAAAUUAAAAGAUACUAAAAUGAAUAUUUGAUAAACUUAGGUGGAAUAUAUGAAGUUUUUUGUAUAUAAUUUAAUGAAAUAUUAACGGAGGAGCCAACGAAAAGAAAAAAAUAAAAUCAUAGGAUACUAAAUUAAUACACUUUAAACUAUAGGAUCCUAAAGUGAAAGAGUACGAAACCACAUGAGUGGAAUUUGAAGUUUAUCUUAUUUUUAAAGGAUAGAUGUAAGGUAGAUUUGUGCUAAGGGAUAUAUAGGCUAUUG
rnacentral:lncRNA from 1 species